GUGGGGAAUAUUGGACAAUGGGCGAAAGCCUGAUCCAGCCAUGCCGCGUGUGUGAAGAAGGUCUUCGGAUUGUAAAGCACUUUAAGUUGGGAGGAAGGGCAGUAAGUUAAUACCUUGCUGUUUUGACGUUACCAACAGAAUAAGCACCGGCUAACUUCGUGCCAGCAGCCGCGGUAAUACGAAGGGUGCAAGCGUUAAUCGGAAUUACUGGGCGUAAAGCGCGCGUAGGUGGUUCAGCAAGUUGAAGGUGAAAUCCCCGGGCUCAACCUGGGAACUGCCACCAAAACUGCAUGACUAGAGUACGGUAGAGGGUAGUGGAAUUUCCUGUGUAGCGGUGAAAUGCGUAGAUAUAGGAAGGAACACCAGUGGCGAAGGCGACUACCUGGACUGAUACUGACACUGAGGUGCGAAAGCGUGGGGAGCAAACAGGAUUAGAAACCCUUGUAGUCC
rnacentral:rRNA from 1 species